UAACACAUGCAAGUCGAGCGGAAAGGCCCUUCGGGGUACUCGAGCGGCGAACGGGUGAGUAACACGUGAGUAAUCUGCCCUGCGCUCUGGGAUAGCCACCGGAAACGGUGAUUAAUACCGGAUAGGACCACUUCACGCAUGUGAUGGUGGUGGAAAGUUUUUUCGGCGCAGGAUGUGCUCGCGGCCUAUCAGCUUGUUGGUGAGGUAACGGCUCACCAAGGCUUUGACGGGUAACCGGCCUGAGAGGGUGACCGGUCACACUGGGACUGAGACACGGCCCAGACUCCUACGGGAGGCAGCAGUGGGGAAUAUUGGACAAUGGGCGGAAGCCUGAUCCAGCAACGCCGCGUGAGGGAUGACGGCCUUCGGGUUGUAAACCUCUUUCAGUACCGACGAAGCGCAAGUGACGGUAGGUACAGAAGAAGGACCGGCCAACUACGUGCCAGCAGCCGCGGUAAUACGUAGGGUCCGAGCGUUGUCCGGAAUUAUUGGGCGUAAAGGGCUCGUAGGCGGUUUGUCGCGUCGGGAGUGAAAACACCGGGCUUAACUCGGUGCUUGCUUUCGAUACGGGCAGACUAGAGGUAUGCAGGGGAGAAUGGAAUUCCUGGUGUAGCGGUGAAAUGCGCAGAUAUCAGGAGGAACACCGGUGGCGAAGGCGGUUCUCUGGGCAUUACCUGACGCUGAGGAGCGAAAGUGUGGGGAGCG
rnacentral:rRNA from 1 species